UGAGUGCGAGCGGCUACGGCCGCGAAGUGGGUGAUGUCAAGCUUCCAAGAAAAGCCCUAUACCCGUUAAGGCAUGAUGGCCUGUACCCGAAACCGACACAGGUGGGGUGGUAGAGAAUACCGAGGGGCGCGAGGUAACUCUCUCUAAGGAACUCGGCAAAAUGGCCCCGUAACUUCGGGAGAAGGGGUGCCACCGCAAGGUGGUCGCAGUGAAGAGGCCCAGGCGACUGUUUACCAAAAACACAGGUCUCCGCUAAGUCGCAAGACGAUGUAUGGGGGCUGACGCCUGCCCAGUGCCGGAAGGUUAAGGAAGCUGGUCAGCGCAAGCGAAGCUAGCGACUGAAGCCCCGGUGAACGGCGGCCGUAACUAUAACGGUCCUAAGGUAGCGAAAUUCCUUGUCGGGUAAGUUCCGACCCGCACGAAAGGCGUAACGAUCUGGGCGCUGUCUCGGAGAGAGGCUCGGCGAAAUAGAAUUGUCUGUGAAGAUGCGGACUACGUGCACCCGGACAGAAAGACCCUAUGAAGCUUUACUGUAGCUUGGUACUGUGCCCGGGCUCUGAAUGCGCAGGAUAGGUGGGAGGCUUUGAUCCAUGGCUUGCGGGUCAUGGUGAGCCAACGGUGAGAUACCACUCUUUCAGAGCUAGGGUUCUAACGGUCACCCGUCAUCCGGGGACCGGACAGUAUCAGGUGGGCAGUUUGACUGGGGCGGUCGCCUCCUAAAAGGUAACGGAGGCGCGCAAAGGUUUGCUCAGGCUGGUUGGAAAUCAGCCGACGAGUGCAAAAGCAGAAGCAAGCUUGACUGUGAGACCUACAAGUCGAACAGGGACGAAAGUCGGCUUUAGUGAUCCGACGGUUCUGAGUGGAAGGGCCGUCGCUCAACGGAUAAAAGUUACUCUAAGGAUAACAGGCUGAUCUCCCCCAAGAGUUCACAUCGACGGGGAGGUUUGGCACCUCGAUGUCGGCUCAUCGCAACCUGGGGCUGAAGUCGGUCCCAAGGGUUGGGCUGUUCGCCCAUUAAAGCGGUACGCGAGCUGGGUUCAGAACGUCGUGAGACAGUUCGGUCCAUAUCCGGUGCACGCGCAGGAACAUUGAGAGGAUUUCUCCCCAGUACGAGAGGACCGGGAGGAACGCACCUCUGGUGUGCCAGUUAUCGUGCCAACGGUAAACGCUGGGUAGCCAUGUGCGGAGUGGAUAACCGCUGAAAGCAUCUAAGUGGGAAGCCCACCUCAAGAUGAGUGUUCCCAUGGCAUAAGCCAGUAAGGUCACGGGAAGAACACCCGUUGAUAGGCUCUACGUGGAAGCCGGGUAACCGGUGAAGCGGAGGAGUACUAAUAGACCGAGGGCUUGACCAC
rnacentral:rRNA from 1 species